rnacentral:rRNA from 1 species
AGUCGAACGAGCCUUCGGAGCUAGUGGCGGACGGGUGAGUAACGCGUGGGAAUCUGCCCUCAGGAGGGGGAUAACGGCCGGAAACGGCCGCUAAUACCCCAUAUGCCGAGAGGUGAAACGAAUUUCGCCUGGGGAUGAGCCCGCGUCUGAUUAGCUAGUUGGUGAGGUAAUGGCUCACCAAGGCAUCGAUCAGUAGCUGGUCUGAGAGGAUGAUCAGCCACACUGGGACUGAGACACGGCCCAGACUCCUACGGGAGGCAGCAGUGGGGAAUUUUCCGCAAUGGGCGCAAGCCUGACGGAGCAACGCCGCGUGAGGGACGAAGGCCUCUGGGCUGUAAACCUCUUUUCUCAAGGAAGAAGACAUGACGGUACUUGAGGAAUAAGCCACGGCUAAUUCCGUGCCAGCAGCCGCGGUAAUACGGGAGUGGCAAGCGUUAUCCGGAAUUAUUGGGCGUAAAGCGUCCGCAGGCGGCCUUGAAAGUCUGUUGUUAAAGCGUGGAGCUCAACUCCAUUUCAGCAAUGGAAACUACAAGGCUAGAGUGUGGUAGGGGCAGAGGGAAUUCCCGGUGUAGCGGUGAAAUGCGUAGAUAUCGGGAAGAACACCAGUGGCGAAGGCGCUCUGCUGGGCCAUAACUGACGCUCAUGGACGAAAGCCAGGGGAGCGAAAGGGAUUAGAUACCCCUGUAGUCCUGGCCGUAAACGAUGAACACUAGGUGUCGGGAGAAUUAACCCUCUCGGUGUCGUAGCCAACGCGUUAAGUGUUCCGCCUGGGGAGUACGCACGCAAGUGUGAAACUCAAAGGAAUUGACGGGGGCCCGCACAAGCGGUGGAGUAUGUGGUUUAAUUCGAUGCAACGCGAAGAACCUUACCAGGGUUUGACAUCCUGCGAAUCCCUUGGAAACUUGGGAGUGCCUUCGGGAACGCAGUGACAGGUGGUGCAUGGCUGUCGUCAGCUCGUGUCGUGAGAUGUUGGGUUAAGUCCCGCAACGAGCGCAACCCACGUCUUUAGUUGCCAGCAUUCAGUUGGGCACUCUAGAGAGACCGCCGGUGAUAAACCGGAGGAAGGUGUGGAUGACGUCAAGUCAUCAUGCCCCUUACAUCCUGGGCUACACACGUACUACAAUGCUACGGACAAAGGGCAGCAAACUCGCGAGAGCUAGCAAAUCCCAUAAACCGUGGCUCAGUUCAGAUCGUAGGCUGCAACUCGCCUACGUGAAGGAGGAAUCGCUAGUAAUCGCAGGUCAGCAUACUGCGGUGAAUACGUUCCCGGGCCUUGUACACACCGCCCGUCACACCAUGGAAGUUGGCCAUGCCCGAAGUCGUUACUCCAACCCGCAAGGGAGGAGGACGCCGAAGGUGGGGCUGAUGACUGGGG